CCCUCGACUCCAGUACGGGCACAAGGCCACAAUUGAGAGCACAGUACGCUCCUCUCCAAACCCUUCCCGACUUCCUGUCCUUCACCGGACCUCCUCGUCCUCCUCCGGCCCUCCACCUACGGCGGCGACUCGCAAAAUUCAAACGCGUUCAGAAAGUCUCUGCGUACGGGCCCCACAUAGUCGUCUGUGCAAAGAAGAUCCGUGCACAGUCACAACAAAUAUAGACGCCUACGGCAUCGUUUGCGAAAGAAGAUAAGUUCCUUAUGUCAUAAUUUCCUACUUAAAGUUUCUUCUUCCUCUUCUACCUCGCUGCAUCAACAUUCAACAGGCAUAAAGCUGCCUUGUGAAUAGGCAGUUUUCCUCCAGGAACACUGCAUAAUUUUAUGGGGAAGUUUUGCAUGAAAUGUCAGUUUGUAUAAUUGUCAUUAGUUGAUUCCUUGUUUGUUUUUUGUUGCUGGAUUUUUUGUAUUGACAAGACCUGGGCCCAAAGGCCAAAACCCAAUUUCUGUCAAUGACAUUUGCAUUCAGGUACAAGUAAGACAGUUACACAAUCAUGCAGAUUGGAAGCUAGUUGAUGGAAGAUAGCCACAUCCCAGAGCUAUCAUGGGAUUGGGCAUUGGGACCCCACAAAGAUCAAUAAUACUUCUUCCACUAGAAAAUGUACAUCCACAUUACAGAAUAAGGACACAUAAGAAAGAACAAACACAACUGACCCACAAAUGCCCAAAAACACUUCCACCCCAAUGCAUUCCACCACACCAAACCAUCUCUCUCUCUCUCUCUCCAACUUCUGGUCCAUUGUUUAAUCCUUCAGUGUGCUCCAGUUUUGGACCGUUGCAAGCUCAUCCCAGGUCCAGGUCCAACACAAUGAUUAAAAUCAUUUAUAUUUUAGAUGUCGCAAAUCAGUACUUAUGUCUUUGUAAACAAUUAGCUUUGAUUGGACAACUGCAUGUGUUAACAAGUAGUUGCGUUUGUGGAGAACAGAAAGAACGGUAAAAGUUCAGACGGUUCAUUCUAUCUUCAACAAAUAUAAGCCAUUGCCCGUUGGUGUAUCUAUCGAUGUUGGACCGCACUAAUUUUCUACGGGGACAUAUUUCUUUGCGACAUUUAAGACACUAACGGUUCUGGACCCACAAUGAUCCAAAACUGAACCGCACUGGAGGAUUUAAGCUGGAUCAGAAAUUAGGGCACGCAAGGCGGCAAGGGAAGGCCUCUCUCUGUCCGUUGCCAAACUACCUAAGCUUGGAGUGGAGUGUGGGGUUGCAUUUUUUGAACAGAUCUGCUGACACCAUUCUUUUGUUUCACUAACGUAUUAGGCCCUAUUCUUUCAACGGCCCAAAUAAUACUUAAGUCCGUUUCAGAAACCACGUGAUUCUUGCACAAAUGCUACAGGAAGCACGUGACUACCCUCGUUCUUCCCACGUGCCAAGACAACCAAACCAAAAAUCGAACCACUAUCCGUCUGGAAUUGAUUUUCACCCUUCCCUUAUUUAUAUAUAUCUACACUCUCUUUUUAAUGCAAGGGUGCACGAUGAAGUGCGCGAAUUGAGCCGCUCAAAAGUACUUUUAAUUGUUCAUAUUUGCUACAAGUAUCCUACGUAUAAGAUACUGUUUGAAAAUAGAUGAUUGACUGUAGAGAUUUAAUGGUUUGAAUUUUGUAGUA